CGAAAGUAGCGCGCCGACAGGCUGGACUGUGGGCUCUCGGGGUCGCUGUACUCCUCCGGCGCCGCCGGCGGGUAGGCGGGCUCGGCUGGCGCCAGCUCCAGGCCGGACUUCUGGUCCGCAUCGUAGCUGCUGGGGGCCUGCCUGAUUCAGCCUUUACCUCUCAUCUGGCACUUGGGAUGACCAAAGGGUGAAGUUUCUGCUGAUCAUUCCUCAACCCUGAAAGGGAAGGAAGCAUACUGGUGAAGAGCUUUGGUCCCAGACUGCCUGCAUUGAGUUCCAGUGUUAUCAUUCCCAGCUGUAUGACCUUGGACUAACUACUUGACCUCUCUGUGCUUGUUUCCCCAACUGUAAAAUGUAGGUUAAUAAAAUACUUUACUCACAGAGUUGCUGUAAGGAGUCUCUGAGUAAAUAGACAACAAGGGAAAAUGAACA